GAUGAACGCUAGCUACAGGCUUAACACAUGCAAGUCGAGGGGCAGCGGUAUCGAAAGCUUGCUUUCGGUAGCCGGCGACCGGCGCACGGGUGAGUAACGCGUAUCGAACCUGCCUCAUACUCGGGAAUAGCCUUGCGAAAGUAAGAUUAAUGCCCGGUGUUUUCAGAGUCCCGCAUGAGGCUUUGAACAAAGAUUAAUCGGUAUGAGAUGGCGAUGCGUCCCAUUAGCUUGUUGGCGGGGUAACGGCCCACCAAGGCAUCGAUGGGUAGGGGUUCUGAGAGGAAGGUCCCCCACAUUGGAACUGAGACACGGUCCAAACUCCUACGGGAGGCAGCAGUGAGGAAUAUUGGUCAAUGGGCGGAAGCCUGAACCAGCCAAGUAGCGUGCAGGAAGACGGCCCUCCGGGUUGUAAACUGCUUUUAGUUGGGAAUAAAACGGGGCUCGUGAGCCCCCUUGCAUGUACCAUCAGAAAAAGGACCGGCUAAUUCCGUG
rnacentral:rRNA from 1 species